UACUUUCUGGGAUGUUCGCGAGACCUUUGUAACACAAACUCGACUACAAGAUUUAUGGGGUUCCAAUAUCUCUUAGGACCGUGGUCUUAAGAUGAGGAGGCCCACCUGGUUCCCCCAGGAUUCUGUGUUUUUGAGGCUCGCGGCAUCUUGGGGUAGUU
rfam:Candidatus Peregrinibacteria bacterium CG2_30_44_17 cg2_3.0_scaffold_4053_c, whole genome shotgun sequence.